rnacentral:tRNA from 1 species
GGCUCGUUGGUGUAAAUGGCAACAUCCCCGAGGUGGAAUGAUUCCACUUCUGAUUGAGGUCCUUGAGGAAGAUAUCGGUUCGAAUCCGAUACGGGCCA